rnacentral:rRNA from 1 species
GACGAACGCUGGCGGCGUGCUUAACACAUGCAAGUCGAACGCUGAAGCUCAGCUUUUGUUGGGUGGAUGAGUGGCGAACGGGUGAGUAACACGUGAGUAACCUGCCUCCUUCUUUGGGAUAACGCCCGGAAACGGGUGCUAAUACUGGAUAUUCACUGGUCUUCGCAUGGGGGUUGGUGGAAAGGGUUUUUCUGGUGGGGGAUGGGCUCGCGGCCUAUCAGCUUGUUGGUGGGGUGAUGGCCUACCAAGGCUUUGACGGGUAGCCGGCCUGAGAGGGUGACCGGUCACAUUGGGACUGAGAUACAGCCCAGACUACUACGGGAGGCAGCAGUGGGGAAUAUUGCACAAUGGGCGCAAGCCUGAUGCAGCGACGCCGCGUGAGGGAUGGAGGCCUUCGGGUUGUGAACCUCUUUCGCUCAUGGUCAAGCCGCAACAAUGGUUGUGGUGAGGGUAGUGGGUAAAGAAGCGCCGGCUAACUACGUG